rnacentral:rRNA from 1 species
GAUGAACGCUGGCGGCGUGCUUAACACAUGCAAGUCGAACGAUGAAGCGCAGCUUGCUGGGUGGAUUAGUGGCGAACGGGUGAGUAACACGUAAGUAACCUGCCCCUCACUCUGGGAUAAGCGCUGGAAACGGAGCCGAAUACUGGAUAUGUCACAUCACCACAUGGAGGGUUGGUUGGAAAAUGUUGCGGUUGGGGUUAGGUACACGUCCUAUCAGCUUGUUGUAGAGCUAAUGGAAGCCAACGGCGUCGACGGGUAGCCGGCCUGAGAGGGUGAACGGGCACCCUGGGCCUGCGGCACGCACCAGACUCCAACGUUCCGCAGCAGUGGGAAAUCUUGCACAAUGGGCGGACGCCUGAUGUAGCGACCCCGCGUGAGUGAUGACGGCCUUCGGGUUGUAAACCUCUUUUAGCAGGGAAGAAGCGAAAGUGACGGUACCUGCAGAGAAAGCACCGGCUAACUACGUG